rfam:Firmicutes bacterium CAG:83 genomic scaffold, scf121
GAGGUCCCGCAGGGAUGUGACGGGUCUUUUUUAUCCUCACAUUUUGUUAUAGGGGAUGUCGGAUCAGUAUGUGGAUCGCAGGCCUCCCGGCUGCCGUCUGCGGCUGGAAGUUGGAAGCGGUGAAGCACACUGGAGACAACCCACCUGCUGAAACGGUGCAGGUUAUAACUUGGCCCCCACGCCCGGCGGGACAACU